AGCAGCCGCGGUAAUUCCAGCUCCAAUAGCGUAUAUUAAAGUUGUUGCAGUUAAAAAGCUCGUAGUUGAAUUUCGGGGUCAGUAGGCUGGUCGUGCCACAGGUACGUACUGGUCUCACUGAUUCCUCCUUCCUGAUGAACCGUAAUGCCAUUAAUUUGGUGUUGCGGGGAAACUGGACUGUUACUUUGAAAAAAUUAGAGUGUUUAAAGCAGGCUAACGCUUGAAUACAUUAGCAUGGAAUAAUGAAAUAGGACGUUCGAUCCUAUUUUGUUGGUUUCUAGGAUUGACGUAAUGAUUAAUAGGGAUAGUUGGGGGCAUUAGUAUUCAAUUGUCAGAGGUGAAAUUCUUGGAUUUAUUGAAGACUAACUACUGCGAAAGCAUUUGCCAAGGAUGUUUUCAUUAAUCAAGAACGAAAGUUAGGGGAUCGAAGACGAUCAGAUACCGUCGUAGUCUUAACCAUAAACUAUGCCGACUAGGAAUCGGAUGAUGUUAAUUUUUAAUGAUCAUUCGGCGCCUUACG
rnacentral:rRNA from 1 species